GAUUAACUGACACUGAGUUCUGAACACUAGGAAAUAUUCUAACAAUGCCGGUCAGUGCAGUGAUCAUAACAUGUUUUCUACUUUAGGAAGAAGAGCUAUAUAUUGUUAUAAAUAAUCGAAUGAUCAAUUCUAUCUUCAUUCAGGAUAUAGUGUUUCGUCAUUAAUUCACAGAACGCCGACAAUGUUUUCGAUUAAGUGGUACAUUUAACAAGCGACAAGGCAGGCGGAAAGGCAUAUAAAUUGGAACAGCUGCCGCAGAAACAAUGUAUAAUUUUCAAAUGGCAACUCAUUUCUAGAUACUGAGCACCGCAUAUACUGCGUGGGUUUCCAAGAAUACAGGAAACCGAUAGGAAGAGCAGCAAUCCCAAUUCAAUAAUCUAAUAUAGCCGCGCUAUAGAUUGGAGAAACCUCGAAGUGGAGCGGAGUGGUAUGGGAAACCUAUAAUCAGUUGAAUCAUCUCAUGUUGUUUCGCUAAAGAUUCAAACAAACAGAUGUCAUUGGGCAUUGUAAGAGGAGAAGAUAAAAUCAAACUGCUUGCGACGUACGUUGAACUAUGAGAUCACAGAAAUGUAAGAAAAUAAUGCACAGAAGACACAGUUAGAAGACUUAUUAUAUCAUCUUGGCACUUGAUUAAUCAUGCUGUAUUGAUUUGUUAUAGGGUUCAAGCACCGAGAAUUAAGACCAAAUCGGCUUAGAAAAAUACAUAGUAGGCGCAAAAAGUUGCUUUGUUGUGAUACCAAUAGGUUAGGUCCUUAGAAUCGCCGAUAGGAAAUUCAUAGAACGGAUAUACUGGACACAUAUAACAGUUACGGAAAAAUUGGGCUGUAAGUCAGUUAGUCAUGUCGACGCCCGCACGGAAUUCCACGAUUCAUCCCCCGGUACAGAAUGUACAUGAGAGAGAAAUGGAGAUGAUCACAAUAGCAUUGGUGUCUGCUGGCAUGGUUAUCUUUCUGGUAAGCUGUAUUUUCCUGGUAAAGUGUCUGGCUAAGAGACGGUUAUGGCAAGGGCAAACAACGCUCAGUCGAGCGUGUCAAAACACGCGUGUUCCUGCAGUCACUUUGCACCCCAGCCACAGGCAUUUCAACCAUGAUGACGUCACUCAGUUACAUCCCCAUGAUGUCACAUACUCGAAUCGUCGUACUAGCGGUUCCAACCAACUUCGUGCGCACGAUUCUGACUCGUCGCCUGAAUUAGAAAAGGGGCGAAUUCCUUACGAGGACCAAAGUGGUGCUAGAUACGAAUCUACAGAUAUUGUGAAACGGGAUGCCGAAUUCUAUUCUCAGGCGGACAGCAUGCAGAGCAAACAGCAACAUAUUACGUAUGUGGAAUUUUAAAACAGCGGAGUUUUUUUUACAGUGGGUAUAUGAUACAUAGCAGAAUAAGCAAGAUAGCAAAACACCAUAACCAGAUUGCAAAUUGAACUACUUUCCCAUUUGUAUUUUGGAUAAGUGGUACCCGGUAAAAAGGCAAACAAUGAAUAUUAAUUUUGAAUUCAGGUUGAUGACAUGGAAAAGAGAGCUAGCCGUUUUCAAACUGCGCAGAUCUAAACUACUAAAUUAGCUGGUCUGUGGUGUUCCAAAGGGGAUAUAACCUUGCCUAUCUGGAAAAUUGGCUGCGUGAGGAUGAAAUGACGAUUAUUACAGCUCUGUGUAUUGAGGGGUUCAAUUAGACCAACCAGCUGUACACUUGAUACUUAUUUCCUAAUGAAUCAACCCCACUGCGCAGAGUAGUUUCAUGAUAAGGUAUAGAAGUUCAAUAUGACUACCAAGUGUUUUCAGUGACUACAAAAAUAUAAAAAG